rnacentral:lncRNA from 10 species
GGCUGUUGAGAUGAUGAAAGAAUGCAAGAAAAGGGCUUAGGGCAACACCUAGCACGUGCCAGUGCCUCAGGAUUAAGACCUACAAUACCCAGGAGAGCCCAAACAUGGCAGUAGCCAAGAGCAUCCAGUCUCCACUGUGUACCAUCUCUUAGCAAGCAUGUCAUUCAGCCUGACACCGGGAUGUUUCCAGCAAAUCUCUUCCCGAAGACUCUCAUCAGAGGCCAAGUGGUUGCAGCAGAUUCGUCUCUGUUUCCAAGCUACAACAGGCCAAAUAAGACUGGAUUGGAUCAGAGAAGAUGGGUCCUCCCAUCUCUUUCAUGAGCUGGGCCCCUGGCAUUAAUUGGACAAUGCAGAUCGUUUAUUAUACUUCUUUAAUAGAACUGAUGGGCAAAUAUGUAUAUUUGGAAAAUUGGUGUUUUGACAGUAAUGGUAGGUUCUUAAGAAGAAUGAAGGGAGUGGUUGGAACCCAAUGGAAUAGUACUGAACCGUGUUUUUGUGGAGUUUGAAUGCUUUGGGAGACGGCUGAUGUGUUAUUAGUAAAAGGCUGGCCAGUUCUUCACUGACAGGAACGAGUAGUGAGCCUCAGUUGAAGGGGAUACAAGAGAAACAAUAAUAG